AUGCAGCGCGCGUCCGCUCUGCUGCUCUGCUCCCUCUGUUGCCUCUUCGCGCGGCCGUCGCAGGCGUUCCUCGACGGCACGCGCGGCGCCGGGGCGUACAUUUCUCGGCUGCUUAGCGAGGGAUACGGCGAGGAGAAGAUCCCCAUGGCCGUCGUGGUGCCGUCGGUGCCAGAUUACUCCCCGCGGCCGGCACCGACCACUGUCGCUGUCGCCGCGCCCGCGCCCGCGCCAACGCCAACGCCAACGCCGGUGCCCGGCUCGGAGGAGUACAUGCCGAAGCUGCCGUCGGACAGGCUGAGCCCUGGGGCGCCAGCCAGCGGCAAUGCGGGCGCACCGGCACCUGCCGCGUCGGGCGAGGAGGCGAGCACCGCCUUCAUCAGCAGCAACCCCGUGGUGCCGCUCCCCGCCGGCGUCACCGACUCCGCAACCGUCCUGCCCAUGCCCACCCCCGGUCAAGAGCAGCGGCAGGACGUGGGGAUGGGCACCCUGCUUCAGGCCAGGGCGGUGCCGUUGGUCGCUCCUCUCCUCAUGGUGCUCUACUUUUGA
rnacentral:rRNA from 1 species